UCAAUGUGGAGGCUAUAUACAGGGGGUCAAUGUGGAGGCUAUAUACAGGGGGUCAAUGUGGAGGCUAUAUACAGGGGGUACCGUUAUUUGUGUGUUCCUCUUCUCCGGUCCCCACCACAGUUACGACAGAUGGAUGCUAACUAGACGCUGUUCGCCUUGAGAGUUUCAUUUUUUCGAGGGUCUGCACAACAAAACCAAAAACAUGAUCGAAAUGAUUUGUAUGCUCUUCUCGUAAUUCUGACUGAGGAGGGCCAAACACCGAGGAUCAGGCUGUGAUGUCAUCAUCAGUGGGAGGCCACAUAGAGGUGGAGGGCCAAACACUGAGGUUCAGGCUGUGAUGUCAUCAUCAGUGGGAGGCCACAUAGAGGUGGAGGGCCAAACACUGAGGUUCAGGCUGUGAUGUCAUCAUCAGUGGGAGGCCACAUAGAGGUGGAGGGCCAAACACCGAGGAUCAGGCUGUGAUGUCAUCAUCAGUGGGAGGCCACAUAGAGGUGGAGGGCCAAACACCGAGGAUCAGGCUGUGAGGUCAUCAUCAGUGGGAGGCCACAUAGAGGUGCACUGGUCCUUUACGUUCAGGUUCUGGGAGCGGCUGAAAAGCCAAGGAAGUGUUAUUUUACUAUGAAGAUUUGUGAUCAACGCCUUUUUUUUAUGACCAUCCAUUAAGUCUGGACGCUUGUCUCUGGUUUACACUAAAUAUACUAUUUGAAUAACUUUAAUGUUUGCAUUAUUGUCAUAUUACUCUGUUUGAAUUGUCUCUCAUUCAUAAGCACUUAAAUGUUUUCUUCUGAAGUUCUCGCAGGCGGGUCUCGGUGUCUGUGUGGAAUAUCACCACCUGAUUACAACAGUACCUGUGCACAGUAGUCGUGUCAUGAUUAAAUAAAUCAUUGCAAUGAUUUUUUUUUUAAACAAUCUCCAUUUUUAUUUUAUAUAAACUAUGAAGCUGCUGAGCUCAAGAAGUGAAGAGUGUCUGUUUUAAUCAGUAAUGACUAAUUAACGUGUUACUCUAUUAAGGAAGUAGGCGACUUCAUGUCAGCCAGAGCACCUGGCUCAUGCCGAGGAGGCAGCCCGCUUCCACGACUAAUGCAAUCACUUCCCCACCUGGUUCAAACUCCUCCCACCAGUGACAAGAGGUUGCCAUGGGGACCUCCCGUGUGGUGCAGCGGUCUAAGGCACGGCAUCGCAAUGCUAGAGGUGUCACUACAUGAAUAAAAUCAGUUUCCAUGUGGGGAAUCGUAGGUGGUGGUCAUUAUAUUGAUGUCUUGUUUUGACUGAUGUCAUGUUUAUGCUAAUAUGGCAAAAAAAUCACUUGCAAGCUAACUAGCAACAACCAUAACGAUGUAUGUGAGACAAGUGCUUAUUGUGCGAAUGUAUUUGUUUUCAAUAAACAUUUGGAGAUUAAAUAUA